AACGAACGCUGGCGGCAUGCCUAACACAUGCAAGUCGAACGAGAUCUUCGGGUCUAGUGGCGCACGGGUGCGUAACGCGUGGGAAUCUGCCCUUUGGUUCGGAAUAACAGUUGGAAACGACUGCUAAUACCGGAUGAUGACGAAAGUCCAAAGAUUUAUCGACAGAGGAUGAGCCCGCGUGGGAUUAGCUAGUUGGUGUGGUAAAGGCGCACCAAGGCGACGAUACUUAGCUGGUCUGAGAGGAUGAUCAGCCACACUGGGACUGAGACACGGCCCAGACUCCUACGGGAGGCAGCAGUGGGGAAUAUUGGACAAUGGGCGAAAGCCUGAUCCAGCAAUGCCGCGUGAGUGAUGAAGGCUUUAGGGUUGUAAAGCUCCUUUACGCGGGAUGAUAAUGACAGUACCGGGAGAAUAAGCUCCGGCUAACUCCGUGCCAGCCGCCGCCGUAA
rnacentral:rRNA from 1 species